AGUUACCUGAUAAGACAACUUCAACUAAGUCUCCUUCUUGGAUAUCCCCAGCUGAUUUCACCAACUGGAGAAUGUUUUCAGAGUAUGCAGCACCACUGAGCUGAAAGCAAAAGCCUGAUGGAACUACUUGCUGCCAGAAGACUGAAGGAAUUUGCUUAUUUGGAAGCACUGUAAAAUGAAAAAAACCUUUCAAAACAGCCACUUACAGCCUCUUUCAAACACUGAUAGAAUUAUUGCACUCCACUGUAUUUCAGAGAUAGGACAGGCAUUUCCCUCUAAAUCUUUUUUUUUCCCCCCUCUCAGCAUACUCCCAUUUCAUUUGCUCUUUUAAUAUUACUUCCAUUUGUAUUUACCUAUAAAAAAGUAUUUUCUGUACUGCACAUAUAAUAUGUGUGAGUGUGUAAAUAUGUACAUUUUAAGGCAUCAUUUAUUAUAUUCUAAAGAGAGACGAACUCAAUUACUAGCAUAAUAAAAAAAUAUAUAUGU